AUUGCAACAGGUUUCAGCUUUGACCCACUUCCUCCCUGAUACAUUUGGCAGAAUCCAGUGUCAGAUGACAGGAUAAGAAGGUCCUUUACUCAGUGCUGCAUCUAGGAGGAAUUCUUACUGUCUUUUGUCUUACAUACUGACAGCUCGCUGAGGUGAAUGACUUUGUCUGUUUGGCUGAUCACUGUGACCCCAAUGUUUGCACAGUUGAUACCAGGUUACAAAAUCACCCAGGAGACACCCUCCUGGCCGUGCCUGCACAGAUAUUUCCAGAGAAGUUUAACUGAGGAAGGAAGACAUCCCGAAUGCAAGUGGCACCCAUCCCACAGGCUAGAGUCUGAAUGAAAAAGGCAACAGAGAAAGAUAGCUGAACACCAGCAUUCAUCUCUGGCUGCUCCCUGGUCCACCCAGAGGAAGCAGCUUCCUGUUCCUGCCACCACGCCUUCCCCAUCCUGAUGAAUAGUGUCCUUCUCAAACUGAUUUCCCAGUGGUUAAAGAUGUUUGUCUGAUGACGUGAGUUGGAGUCAUGGAACCCACCUAAAGAUGAAGAGAGAAAACUGACAGCAAAGUUGUCCUUUGACCACCAUUAUCGUACGUGUGCCUAUACACACACUCAUACACACACCAUAAUAAUAAAUGAAGUUUAAAGGUUUCUCUUGAAUAAACAUAGAAUUAAUUCAAUGACUGUUUUAAAGGUGUCACUAGCUAGCAAAUACCACACUAUACUAUACAACAUAUGAAAAUUCCAAUAUCAAAGUCCUACAUUGGGGCUGGAGAGAUGUCUCAGUCAGUAAGUGCCUAUUGUAAAAUCAUGAGGUCCUGAGUUCAGAUCUCCAGCACCCAUGUAACAGCUGGGUGUAGUCUUGUAGUCUUCAACCCCCCACACUAUUGACGGGAGACAAGUGCAUCUUUGAAGCUCACCAACAAGUGAAUCUAGUUGAAUACAUGAACUCCAGGUUUGAUAAGAGCCAUGCUAUGAUGGUUGUCUUAGUUAUCAACUUCACUACACCUGAAAUAAACUGAAAACCAAGCAGCUAGGCAGAGCUAUGUGGGAUAUUUAUUGAUUAAAUUUUUGAGGUGGUGAGACACCUCCUGCCGCUUAAAUCUAGACAGCACCUUCUGGUAGCAGCCUACAUAAAAGGACACUGAAAAAGGAAACUCUUGGGUUUUGCCUGCUGGCCCUCACACUCCUGGCAAGUUCACCUGUCCAUUCCUGAGGUACUUCUUCCGGGUUCUGUAGACUGAAGCCUGGCAGCUCUCUAGGACUUCCCUGGGACUCCAGC